rnacentral:rRNA from 1 species
UACGGAGGGUGCAAGCGUUAUCCGGAUUUACUGGGUUUAAAGGGUGCGUAGGUGGGUAGGAAAGUCAGUGGUGAAAUCUUCGGGCUUAACCCGGAAACUGCCAUUGAUACUAUUUAUCUUGAAUACUUUGGAGGUAAGCGGAAUAUGUCAUGUAGCGGUGAAAUGCUUAGAUAUGACAUAGAACACCAAAUUGCGAAGGCAGCUUACUACACAGUUAUUGACACUGAGGCACGAAAAGCGUGGGGGAUCAAAACAGG